UGCAGUCGAGCGGACAGAUGGGAGCUUGCUCCCUGAUGUUAGCGGCGGACGGGUGAGUAACACGUGGGUAACCUGCCUGUAAGACUGGGAUAACUCCGGGAAACCGGGGCUAAUACCGGAUGCUUGUUUGAACCGCAUGGUUCAGACAUAAAAGGUGGCUUCGGCUACCACUUACAGAUGGACCCGCGGCGCAUUAGCUAGUUGGUGAGGUAACGGCUCACCAAGGCGACGAUGCGUAGCCGACCUGAGAGGGUGAUCGGCCACACUGGGACUGAGACACGGCCCAGACUCCUACGGGAGGCAGCAGUAGGGAAUCUUCCGCAAUGGACGAAAGUCUGACGGAGCAACGCCGCGUGAGUGAUGAAGGUUUUCGGAUCGUAAAGCUCUGUUGUUAGGGAAGAACAAGUGCCGUUCAAAUAGGGCGGCACCUUGACGGUACCUAACCAGAAAGCCACGGCUAACUACGUGCCAGCAGCCGCGGUAAUACGUAGGUGGCAAGCGUUGUCCGGAAUUAUUGGGCGUAAAGGGCUCGCAGGCGGUUUCUUAAGUCUGAUGUGAAAGCCCCCGGCUCAACCGGGGAGGGUCAUUGGAAACUGGGGAACUUGAGUGCAGAAGAGGAGAGUGGAAUUCCACGUGUAGCGGUGAAAUGCGUAGAGAUGUGGAGGAACACCAGUGGCGAAGGCGACUCUCUGGUCUGUAACUGACGCUGAGGAGCGAAAGCGUGGGGAGCGAACAGGAUUAGAUACCCUGGUAGUCCACGCCGUAAACGAUGAGUGC
rnacentral:rRNA from 1 species